rnacentral:rRNA from 1 species
UUACCGGUGGAGUUCUUAUAUAUAUUAAACACUUGUAUUUAUAUGUAUUCCUCCUAUUUAAACCUGCUUCAGUGCUCUUCAUUGCGUGCUGUUGUAGGCCGGUACAAUUACAUUGAACAAAUUAGAGUGCUUAAAGCAGGCUCCAAAUGCCUGAAUAUUUUGUGCAUGGAAUAAUGAAAUAAGACCUCUGUUCUACUUUCAUUGGUUUUUAGAUCAAGAGGUAAUGAUUAAUAGAAGCAGUUUGGGGGCAUUAGUAUUACGACGCGAGAGGUGAAAUUCUUGGACCGUCGUAAGACUAACUUAAGCGAAAGCAUUUGCCAAAGAUGUUUUCAUUAAUCAAGAACGAAAGUUAGAGGUUCGAAGGCGAUCAGAUACCGCCCUAGUUCUAACCAUAAACGAUGCCAGCUAGCAAUUGGGUGUAGCUACUAUUAUGGCUCUCUCAGUCGCUUCCCGGGAAACCAAAGCUUUUGGGCUCCGGGGGAAGUAUGGUUGCAAAGCUGAAACUUAAAGGAAUUGACGGAAGGGCACCACCAGGAGUGGAGCCUGCGGCUUAAUUUGACCCAACACGGGAAAACCUACCAGGUCCGAACAUAAGCGUGUAAGACAGAUUGAUAGCUCUUUCUCGAAUCUAUGGGUGGUGGUGCAUGGCCGUUCUUAGUUCGUGGAGUGAUUUGUCUGGUUAAUUCCGAUAACGAACGAGACUCAAAUAUAUUAAAUAGAUGCUUUCAGGAUUAUGGUGUUUGAAGCUUUUAUAGCCUUCAUUCAUGAAUGCAGUAACAUGUGUGAGUGUUUGAAUGUGUUUAUAAAGGUGGAGCCGUACCUGUUGGUUUGUCCCAUUAUAAGGACACUAGCUUCUUAAAUGGACAAAUUGCGUCUAGCAAUAAUGAGAUUGAGCAAUAACAGGUCUGUGAUGCCCUUAGAUGUCCUGGGCUGCACGCGCGCUACAAUGAAAGUAUCAACGUGUAUUUCCUAGACCGAGAGGUCCGGGUAAACCGCUGAACCACUUUCAUGCUUGGGAUUGUGAACUGAAACUGUUCACAUGAACUUGGAAUUCCCAGUAAGUGUGAGUCAUUAACUCGCAUUGAUUACGUCCCUGCCCUUUGUACACACCGCCCGUCGCUACUACCGAUUGAAUUAUUUAGUGAGGUCUCCGGACGUGAUCACUGUAACGCCUUGCGUGUUACGGAUGUUUCGCAAAAGUUGUCCGAACUUGAUUAUUUAGAGGAAGUAAAAGUC